CCCAUCUGCAGUGCCCCCCCCCCGUAAUUGAGUUCUAGAGAAAAGUGGGAAUGAGGAGAGAGAGUGGGAACAUGGUGGUGAGUUGGGAACAGGAAAACAACUGAGCGUAAUUGAAUUCUUAUUGAAAAAAACUUAAAAUAUGUGUACGUAAGUUCAUAUAAACAUUGACAAUAGGCACACAUGAAUACAGAAUAUAUCUGACUGUUAUCUGUGGCAAUGCUUGGUACAUAUCCCCGAAGAUAACGAGAGUCUAAUUUAUUAAAAUGGCGCAUGAGCACUCAGGAGUUCAAGCAUAAAGGAAUCGAUGGUAAUGAACAAACUUCCUAAACAGUAUUACAUCCAAUUUUUUAUAGAUACCAGAGCACAGGGGCAUACAUGGAAACAAACAAGCCAAUCAUGCGCCAAAAUGGGUGACAGGACUUCAAUAAGAGAUGAACCCCAUGGCAAUAUACUGUGAGUAAUAUGAUUGGUUACUUUAUAAUGUUCGGAGGCAAAUCAAAACUCCACCCCAAUCACAGUAUAUAAAUCCCAUUGAACAUUUGUGGUACUUACUGCACUUAAAGUUACAAAAAAAAUAUCCAAACAUCAGCUUACAAACUUGUAUUACAUGAACGAGAUCAAAUUGGACUUGAAAUUAUC